AUCACUAAUUGACCUGAAUUUACCAAACUUAAUACCUAAUUUGGUUUUUCGACUGGCAUUAGCUCAAUUGGUAAAGACCUUUGGCGAAGCUUAGAGGUCGCCGGUUCGAAUGAUGUUUGGGAUGAAACUAAUAUUACAUGAUGUGGUUUCGGGCCUGGAAAAAUUACGGGCUUCGGUCCAAAACCUCCUGAUAUUCAAAAAAUAAAGAAAAAAAAUUAGUAGUAGGAAACUCCAAUCUACAAAAUAUUCGGAUGAAUUAACGGUAUCUUGAAAACGUCCAACUUAGG
rnacentral:sRNA from 1 species